GGGGGCGUAAAGGUUUUCGACGGGGAUCGGGAAGUAUGAGAAGCGAGUAGAGGUGUGGGACCUCUUUAAACCCCAACAUUUUAAAAUUAAACGCUAACAAUAAAGUUGCACUUGCUGCUUAAUUAAAGCAGCCGUCUGACCCGGAAGGACCACGAGCCGGGAUCAGGCGUCGAUUAGUGGUGAACGAUCCUGCUGAGCAGCUUCGCAGGUAGGAUUGUACCAGAAGCUACUAAACCACAGAGCCUGUUUGCCGGCGCUGUGAGGAGGGAAUGGCCGAAAGGCGGAUAGACAAACUGCACUCGGAGAAGCUUGUAUGGACUGGUUUUCGGACGCGGGUUCAAUUCCCGCCGCCUCCACCA
rnacentral:tmRNA from 1 species